AGUGUUGAAACACUGGUUCCCAUUGAUCACCGAAGUUAAGCAACAUUGAACCUGGUCAGUACCUAGAUGGGUGACUGCUUGGGAAUACCAAUUGCUGUCA